UGGGGAAUAUUGCACAAUGGGCGAAAGCCUGAUGCAGCGACGCCGCGUGAGGGAUGACGGCCUUCGGGUUGUAAACCUCUUUCAGCAGGGACGACGCGCAAGUGACGGUACCUGCAGAAGAAGCACCGGCUAACUACGUGCCAGCAGCCGCGGUAAUACGUAGGGUGCAAGCGUUGUCCGGAAUUACUGGGCGUAAAGAGUUCGUAGGCGGUUUGUCGCGUCGUUUGUGAAAACCAGCAGCUCAACUGCUGGCUUGCAGGCGAUACGGGCAGACUUGAGUACUGCAGGGGAGACUGGAAUUCCUGGUGUAGCGGUGAAAGGCGCAGAUAUCAGGAGGAACACCGGUGGCGAAGGCGGGUCUCUGGGCAGUAACUGACGCUGAGGAACGAAAGCGUGGGUAGCGAACAGG
rnacentral:rRNA from 1 species